GACGAACGCUGGCGGCGUGCUUAACACAUGCAUGUCGAACGGAAAGGCCCUGCUUUUGUGGGGUGCUCGAGUGGCGAACGGGUGAGUAACACGUGAGUAACCUGCCCUUGACUUUGGGAUAACUUCAGGAAACUGGGGCUAAUACCGGAUAGGAGCUCCUGCUGCAUGGUGGGGGUUGGAAAGUUUCGGCGGUUGGGGAUGGACUCGCGGCUUAUCAGCUUGUUGGUGGGGUAGUGGCUUACCAAGGCUUUGACGGGUAGCCGGCCUGAGAGGGUGACCGGCCACAUUGGGACUGAGAUACGGCCCAGACUCCUACGGGAGGCAGCAGUGGGGAAUAUUGCACAAUGGGCGGAAGCCUGAUGCAGCAACGCCGCGUGCGGGAUGACGGCCUUCGGGUUGUAAACCGCUUUCGCCUGUGACGAAGCGUGAGUGACGGUAAUGGGUAAAGAAGCACCGGCUAACUACGUGCCAGCAGCCGCGGUGAUACGUAGGGUGCGAGCGUUGUCCGGAUUUAUUGGGCGUAAAGGGCUCGUAGGUGGUUGAUCGCGUCGGAAGUGUAAUCUUGGGGCUUAACCCUGAGCGUGCUUUCGAUACGGGUUGACUUGAGGAAGGUAGGGGAGAAUGGAAUUCCUGGUGGAGCGGUGGAAUGCGCAGAUAUCAGGAGGAACACCAGUGGCGAAGGCGGUUCUCUGGGCCUUUCCUGACGCUGAGGAGCGAAAGCGUGGGGAGCGAACAGGCUUAGAUACCCUGGUAGUCCACGCUGUAAACGGUGGGUACUAGGUGUGGGGUCCAUUCCACGGGUUCCGUGCCGUAGCUAACGCUUUAAGUACCCCGCCUGGGGAGUACGGCCGCAAGGCUAAAACUCAAAGGAAUUGACGGGGCCCCGCACAAGCGGCGGAGCAUGCGGAUUAAUUCGAUGCAACGCGUAGAACCUUACCUGGGUUUGACAUGGAUCGGGAGUGCUCAGAGAUGGGUGUGCCUCUUUUGGGGUCGGUUCACAGGUGGUGCAUGCCUGUCGUCAGCUCGUGUCGUGAGAUGUUGGGUUAAGUCCCGCAACGAGCGCAACCCUUGUUCACUGUUGCCAGCACGUUAUGGUGGGGACUCAGUGGAGACCGCCGGGGUCAACUCGGAGGAAGGUGGGGAUGACGUCAAGUCCUCAUGCCCCUUAUGUCCAGGGCUUCACGCAUGCUACAAUGGCUGGUACAGAGAGUGGCGAGCCUGUGAGGGUGAGCGAAUCUCGGAAAGCCGGUCUCAGCUCGGAUUGGGGUCUGCAACUCGACCUCAUGAAGUCGGAGUCGCUAGUAAUCGCAGAUCAGCAACGCUGCGGUGAAUAAAUUCCCGGGGCU
rnacentral:rRNA from 1 species